rnacentral:rRNA from 1 species
AGGGAAACCGAGUCUUAACUGGGCGUUAAGUUGCAGGGUAUAGACCCGAAACCCGGUGAUCUAGCCAUGGGCAGGUUGAAGGUUGGGUAACACUAACUGGAGGACCGAACCGACUAAUGUUGAAAAAUUAGCGGAUGACUUGUGGCUGGGGGUGAAAGGCCAAUCAAACCGGGAGAUAGCUGGUUCUCCCCGAAAGCUAUUUAGGUAGCGCCUCGUGAACUCAUCUUCGGGGGUAGAGCACUGUUUCGGCUAGGGGGUCAUCCCGACUUACCAACCCGAUGCAAACUGCGAAUACCGAAGAAUGUUAUCACGGGAGACACACGGCGGGUGCUAACGUCCGUCGUGAAGAGGGAAACAACCCAGACCGCCAGCUAAGGUCCCAAAGUCACAGUUAAGUGGGAAACGAUGUGGGAAGGC